UACUUACUCCCUUCGUUCGGAAUUACUUGUCUUGGAAAUGGAUGUAUCUAGAACUAAAAUACAUCUAGAUACAUCUAUUACUACGACAAGUAAUUCCGAACGGAGGGAGUAUAAU
rfam:Triticum aestivum genome assembly, contig: Triticum_aestivum_CS42_TGACv1_scaffold_393149_5AS